rnacentral:rRNA from 1 species
AUUGAACGCUGGCGGCAGGCCUAACACAUGCAAGUCGAGCGGUUGAGGGAAGCUUGCUUCCUGAUUCCGCGGCGGACGGGUGAGUAAUGCCUAGGAAUCUGCCUGGUAGUGGGGGACAACGUUUCGAAAGGAACGCUAAUACCGCAUACGUCCUACGGGAGAAAGCCGGGGACCUUCGGGCCUUGCGCUAUCAGAUGAGCCUAGGUCGGAUUAGCUAGUUGGUGAGGUAAUGGCUCACCAAGGCGACGAUCCGUAACUGGUCUGAGAGGAUGAUCAGUCACACUGGAACUGAGACACGGUCCAGACUCCUACGGGAGGCAGCAGUGGGGAAUAUUGGACAAUGGGCGAAAGCCUGAUCCAGCCAUGCCGCGUGUGUGAAGAAGGUCUUCGGAUUGUAAAGCACUUUAAGUUGGGAGGAAGGGCAGUCAGCGAAUACCUUGCUGUCUUGACGUUACCGACAGAAUAAGCACCGGCUAACUCUGUG